UACGGAGGGUGCAAGCGUUAUCCGGAAUUAUUGGGCGUAAAGAGCUCGUAGGCGGUCUGUCGCGUCUGCUGUGAAAACUCGGGGCUUAACCCCGGGCCUGCAGUGGGUACGGGCAGACUAGAGUGCGGUAGGGGAGACUGGAAUUCCUGGUGUAGCGGUGAAAUGCGCAGAUAUCAGGAGGAACACCGAUGGCGAAGGCAGGUCUCUGGGCCAUAACUGACGCUGAGAAGCGAAAGCAUGGGGGAGCGAACAGG
rnacentral:rRNA from 1 species